UUUUAGCUAAAUAGCUAUGGCUGGCUGGCCCCUUAUCAGUUUCACUUUUCAACCACUUUCCACGGCUUUAAUAUUGAUUAUGGAUUUGCGCUGAUGGCAAGAACCUUGUGGCGAGUAUUCAUAACAGGCCACAGAGCAACAGUUGCAAGUUAUUGACAAAACAAGUGGCGACGGGACCCGAAAUAAAAGAAGACAUUUGCCGAAUUCCUCAUAAUUAAGAGCCCAUUCCUCACUGAAGACGGCCUAUCCUUUACAUCACGUCAUUCCGCGAUGGCUUUGAAUGCUGACAACAAAUCAGGAGGAGGCACAAUUACUUUGCUUUUGCCAUAUUUCAUAGCGAGGGGUCUCCGGAUCCACGGGGAAUACGCCGGCCUGUAUGCAAAUGGAGCGCAAUGUCAUGGCAAGGACGGUCAAGGACGGCCUUCCGUGUCUCAAAAGUGGGCGUUGGUCCUGUCAGGUGUCAAGUGUGGCCAGCUUGGGCAUACAUUUUCUUUCAAAUGAAAUGUGGCUUUGAUUUACCCUUUCUGCACUAAGGGGAAUAAA